UUCUUUUGUCAUAGGAGUUUGUCAGUUUAAAGAUAAUUUUCCAAGUGAAUUAAGUGCGAGUUUGCUGUAAAACUGUUGAAGUA